UCGUCACACUAUCAUUAACUGAAUCCAUAGGUUAAUGAGGCGAACCGGGGGAACUGAAACAUCUAAGUACCCCGAGGAAAAGAAAUCAACCGAGAUUCCCCCAGUAGCGGCGAGCGAACGGGGAGGAGCCCAGAGCCUGAAUCAGCAUGUGUGUUAGUGGAAGCGUCUGGAAAGGCGCGCGAUACAGGGUGACAGCCCCGUACACAAAAGCGCAUGUGCUGUGAGCUCGAUGAGUAGGGCGGGACACGUGGUAUCCUGUCUGAAUAUGGGGGGACCAUCCUCCAAGGCUAAAUACUCCUGACUGACCGAUAGUGAACCAGUACCGUGAGGGAAAGGCGAAAAGAACCCCGGCGAGGGGAGUGAAAAAGAACCUGAAACCGUGUACGUACAAGCAGUGGGAGCACCCUUUGGGUGUGACUGCGUACCUUUUGUAUAAUGGGUCAGCGACUUAUAUUCUGUAGCAAGGUUAACCGAAUAGGGGAGCCGGAGGGAAACCGAGUCUUAAUUGGGCGUUAAGUUGCAGGGUAUAGACCCGAAACCCGGUGAUCUAGCCAUGGGCAGGUUGAAGGUUGGGUAACACUAACUGGAGGACCGAACCGACUAAUGUUGAAAAAUUAGCGGAUGACCUGUGGCUGGGGGUGAAAGGCCAAUCAAACCGGGAGAUAGCUGGUUCUCCCCGAAAGCUAUUUAGGUAGCGCCUCGUGAAUUCAUCUCCGGGGGUAGAGCACUGUUUCGGCUAGGGGGCCAUCCCGGCUUACCAACCCGAUGCAAACUGCGAAUACCGGAGAAUGUUAUCACGGGAGACACACGGCGGGUGCUAACGUCCGUCGUGAAGAGGGAAACAACCCAGACCGCCAGCUAAGGUCCCAAAGUCAUGGUUAAGUGGGAAACGAUGUGGGAAGGCCCAGACAGCCAGGAUGUUGGCUUAGAAGCAGCCAUCAUUUAAAGAAAGCGUAAUAGCUCACUGGUCGAGUCGGCCUGCGCGGAAGAUGUAACGGGGCUAAACCAUGCACCGAAGCUGCGGCAGCGACACUGUGUGUUGUUGGGUAGGGGAGCGUUCUGUAAGCCUGCGAAGGUGGCCUGUGAGGGUUGCUGGAGGUAUCAGAAGUGCGAAUGCUGACAUAAGUAACGAUAAAGCGGGUGAAAAGCCCGCUCGCCGGAAGACCAAGGGUUCCUGUCCAACGUUAAUCGGGGCAGGGUGAGUCGACCCCUAAGGCGAGGCCGAAAGGCGUAGUCGAUGGGAAACGGGUUAAUAUUCCCGUACUUGGUGUUACUGCGAAGGGGGGACGGAGAAGGCUAUGUUGGCCGGGCGACGGUUGUCCCGGUUUAAGCGUGUAGGUGUGUGUUCCAGGUAAAUCCGGUUCACUUUAACACUGAGGCGUGACGACGAGGCACUACGGUGCUGAAGCAACAAAUGCCCUGCUUCCAGGAAAAGCCUCUAAGCAUCAGGUAACAUCAAAUCGUACCCCAAACCGACACAGGUGGUCAGGUAGAGAAUACCAAGGCGCUUGAGAGAACUCGGGUGAAGGAACUAGGCAAAAUGGUGCCGUAACUUCGGGAGAAGGCACGCUGACACGUAGGUGAAGUGAUUUACUCAUGGAGCUGAAGUCAGUCGAAGAUACCAGCUGGCUGCAACUGUUUAUUAAAAACACAGCACUGUGCAAACACGAAAGUGGACGUAUACGGUGUGACGCCUGCCCGGUGCCGGAAGGUUAAUUGAUGGGGUCAGCGCAAGCGAAGCUCCUGAUCGAAGCCCCGGUAAACGGCGGCCGUAACUAUAACGGUCCUAAGGUAGCGAAAUUCCUUGUCGGGUAAGUUCCGACCUGCACGAAUGGCGUAAUGAUGGCCAGGCUGUCUCCACCCGAGACUCAGUGAAAUUGAACUCGCUGUGAAGAUGCAGUGUACCCGCGGCAAGACGGAAAGACCCCGUGAACCUUUACUAUAGCUUGACACUGAACAUUGAGCCUUGAUGUGUAGGAUAGGUGGGAGGCUUUGAAGUGUGGACGCCAGUCUGCAUGGAGCCGACCUUGAAAUACCACCCUUUAAUGUUUGAUGUUCUAACGUGGACCCGUUACCCGGGUUGCGGACAGUGUCUGGUGGGUAGUUUGACUGGGGCGGUCUCCUCCUAAAGAGUAACGGAGGAGCACGAAGGUUGGCUAAUCCUGGUCGGACAUCAGGAGGUUAGUGCAAUGGCAUAAGCCAGCUUGACUGCGAGCGUGACGGCGCGAGCAGGUGCGAAAGCAGGUCAUAGUGAUCCGGUGGUUCUGAAUGGAAGGGCCAUCGCUCAACGGAUAAAAGGUACUCCGGGGAUAACAGGCUGAUACCGCCCAAGAGUUCAUAUCGACGGCGGUGUUUGGCACCUCGAUGUCGGCUCAUCACAUCCUGGGGCUGAAGUAGGUCCCAAGGGUAUGGCUGUUCGCCAUUUAAAGUGGUACGCGAGCUGGGUUUAGAACGUCGUGAGACAGUUCGGUCCCUAUCUGCCGUGGGCGCUGGAGAACUGAGGGGGGCUGCUCCUAGUACGAGAGGACCGGAGUGGACGCAUCACUGGUGUUCGGGUUGUCAUGCCAAUGGCACUGCCCGGUAGCUAAAUGCGGAAGAGAUAAGUGCUGAAAGCAUCUAAGCACGAAACUUGCCCCGAGAUGAGUUCUCCCUGAGACUUAGAGUCUCCUGAAGGAACGUUGAAGACGACGACGUUGAUAGGCCGGGUGUGUAAGCGCAGCGAUGCGUUGAGCUAACCGGUACUAAUGAACCGUGAGGCUUAACCUUACAACGCCGAAG
rnacentral:rRNA from 1 species